rnacentral:rRNA from 1 species
GACGAACGCUGGCGGCGUGCCUAACACAUGCAAGUCGAACGGGGUGUAAGGAGCUUGCUUCUUACACUUAGUGGCGAACGGGUGAGUAACGCGUGAGAAACCUGCCUCUCAGUGGGGGACAACAGUUGGAAACGACUGCUAAUACCGCAUAAUGUAUUCGGAGGGCAUCCUCUGGAUACCAAAGCUUUAUGUGCUGAGAGAUGGUCUCGCGUAUGAUUAGCUAGUUGGUGAGGUAACGGCUCACCAAGGCGACGAUCAGUAGCCGGCCUGAGAGGGUGAACGGCCACAUUGGGACUGAGACACGGCCCAAACUCCUACGGGAGGCAGCAGUGGGGAAUAUUGCACAAUGGGGGAAACCCUGAUGCAGCGACGCCGCGUGAGUGAAGAAGUAUUUCGGUAUGUAAAGCUCUAUCAGCAGGGAAGAAAAUGACGGUACCUGACUAAGAAGCCCCGGCGUAACUACGUG